rnacentral:tRNA from 1 species
GUGUGCAUAGCUCAGUGGUUAGAAUAUCCCUCUGGAUUGAGGCAGUCAUGGGUCCGAAUCCCAUUGCACACA